GAUGAACGCUGGCGGCGUGCCUAAUACAUGCAAGUCGAGCGAACGGACGAGAAGCUUGCUUCUCUGAUGUUAGCGGCGGACGGGUGAGUAACACGUGGAUAACCUACCUAUAAGACUGGGAUAACUUCGGGAAACCGGAGCUAAUACCGGAUAAUAUUUUGAACCGCAUGGUUCAAAAGUGAAAGACGGUCUUGCUGUCACUUAUAGAUGGAUCCGCGCUGCAUUAGCUAGUUGGUAAGGUAACGGCUUACCAAGGCAACGAUGCAUAGCCGACCUGAGAGGGUGAUCGGCCACACUGGAACUGAGACACGGUCCAGACUCCUACGGGAGGCAGCAGUAGGGAAUCUUCCGCAAUGGGCGAAAGCCUGACGGAGCAACGCCGCGUGAGUGAUGAAGGUCUUCGGAUCGUAAAACUCUGUUAUUAGGGAAGAACAUAUGUGUAAGUAACUGUGCACAUCUUGACGGUACCUAAUCAGAAAGCCACGGCUAACUACGUGCCAGCAGCCGCGGUAAUACGUAGGUGGCAAGCGUUAUCCGGAAUUAUUGGGCGUAAAGCGCGCGUAGGCGGUUUUUUAAGUCUGAUGUGAAAGCCCACGGCUCAACCGUGGAGGGUCAUUGGAAACUGGAAAACUUGAGUGCAGAAGAGGAAAGUGGAAUUCCAUGUGUAGCGGUGAAAUGCGCAGAGAUAUGGAGGAACACCAGUGGCGAAGGCGACUUUCUGGUCUGUAACUGACGCUGAUGUGCGAAAGCGUGGGGAUCAAACAGGAUUAGAUACCCUGGUAGUCCACGCCGUAAACGAUGGGUGCUAAGUGUUAGGGGGUUUCCGCCCCUUAGUGCUGCAGCUAACGCAUUAAGCACUCCGCCUGGGGAGUACGACCGCAAGGUUGAAACUCAAAGGAAUUGACGGGGACCCGCACAAGCGGUGGAGCAUGUGGUUUAAUUCGAAGCAACGCGAAGAACCUUACCAAAUCUUGACAUCCUUUGACAACUCUAGAGAUAGAGCCUUCCCCUUCGGGGGACAAAGUGACAGGUGGUGCAUGGUUGUCGUCAGCUCGUGUCGUGAGAUGUUGGGUUAAGUCCCGCAACGAGCGCAACCCUUAAGCUUAGUUGCCAUCAUUAAGUUGGGCACUCUAAGUUGACUGCCGGUGACAAACCGGAGGAAGGUGGGGAUGACGUCAAAUCAUCAUGCCCCUUAUGAUUUGGGCUACACACGUGCUACAAUGGACAAUACAAAGGGCAGCGAAACCGCGAGGUCAAGCAAAUCCCAUAAAGUUGUUCUCAGUUCGGAUUGUAGUCUGCAACUCGACUACAUGAAGCUGGAAUCGCUAGUAAUCGUAGAUCAGCAUGCUACGGUGAAUACGUUCCCGGGUCU
rnacentral:rRNA from 1 species